rnacentral:rRNA from 1 species
GACGAACGCUGGCGGCGUGCCUAAUACAUGCAAGUAGAACGCUGAAGGAGGAGCUUGCUUCUCUGGAUGAGUUGCGAACGGGUGAGUAACGCGUAGGUAACCUGCCUGGUAGCGGGGGAUAACUAUUGGAAACGAUAGCUAAUACCGCAUAAGAGUAGAUGUUGCAUGACAUUUGCUUAAAAGGUGCAAUUGCAUCACUACCAGAUGGACCUGCGUUGUAUUAGCUAGUUGGUGGGGUAACGGCUCACCAAGGCGACGAUACAUAGCCGACCUGAGAGGGUGGUCGGCCACACUGGGACUGAGACACGGCCCAGACUCCUACGGGAGGCAGCAGUAGGGAAUCUUCGGCAAUGGACGGAAGUCUGACCGAGCAACGCCGCGGGAGUGAAGAAGGUUUUCGGAUCGUAAAGCUCUGUUGUAAGAGAAGAGCGAGUGUGAGAGUGGAAAGUUCACACUGUGACGGUAUCUUACCAGAAAGGGACGGCUAACUACGUG